rnacentral:rRNA from 1 species
AUUGAACGCUGGCGGAAUGCUUUACACAUGCAAGUCGAACGGCAGCACGGGGGCAGCCCUGGUGGCGAGUGGCGAACGGGUGAGUAAUACAUCGGAACGUGCCCGGUCGUGGGGGAUAACGUAGCGAAAGUUACGCUAAUACCGCAUACGAUCUGAGGAUGAAAGCGGGGGACCUUCGGGCCUCGCGCGAUCGGAGCGGCCGAUGUCAGAUUAGGUAGUUGGUGGGGUAAAGGCCUACCAAGCCGACGAUCUGUAGCUGGUCUGAGAGGACGACCAGCCACACGGGGACUGAGACACGGCCCAGACUACUGCGGGAGGCAGCAGUGGGGAAUUUUGGACAAUGGGCGCAAGCCUGAUCCAGCCAUUGCGCGUGCAGGACGAAGGCCUUCGGGUUGUAAACUGCUUUUGUACGGAACGAAAAGGCUCUGGCUAAUACCUGGGGCUCAUGACGGUACCGGAAGAAUAAGCACCGGCUAACUACGUG